UACGUAGGGGGCUAGCGUUGUCCGGAAUCAUUGGGCGUAAAGAGCGUGUAGGCGGCUCGGUAAGUCCGCUGUGAAAGUCGGGGGCUCAACCCUCGAAUGCCGGUGGAUACUGUCGAGCUAGAGUGCGGAAGAGGCGAGUGGAAUUCCUGGUGUAGCGGUGAAAUGCGCAGAUAUCAGGAGGAACACCAAUAGCGAAGGCAGCUCGCUGGGACGGUACUGACGCUAAGGCGCGAAAGCGUGGGGAGCGAACAGG
rnacentral:rRNA from 1 species